GUCGACGAACUCUGGUAUUGAUUGGUGCUUGCAUCAUGAUUUACAUUUGAGUGAGUGGCGAACUGGUGAGUAACACGUGGGAAACCUGCCCAGAAGCGGGGGAUAACACCUGGAAACAGAUGCUAAUACCGCAUAACAACUUGGACCGCAUGGUCCGAGUUUGAAAGAUGGCUUCGGCUAUCACUUUUGGAUGGUCCCGCGGCGUAUUAGCUAGAUGGUGGGGUAACGGCUCACCAUGGCAAUGAUACGUAGCCGACCUGAGAGGGUAAUCGGCCACAUUGGGACUGAGACACGGCCCAAACUCCUACGGGAGGCAGCAGUAGGGAAUCUUCCACAAUGGACGAAAGUCUGAUGGAGCAACGCCGCGUGAGUGAAGAAGGGUUUCGGCUCGUAAAACUCUGUUGUUAAAGAAGAACAUAUCUGAGAGUAACUGUUCAGGUAUUGACGGUAUUUAACCAGAAAGCCACGGCUAACUACGUGCCAGCAGCCGCGGUAAUACGUAGGUGGCAAGCGUUGUCCGGAUUUAUUGGGCGUAAAGCGAGCGCAGGCGGUUUUUUAAGUCUGAUGUGAAAGCCUUCGGCUCAACCGAAGAAGUGCAUCGGAAACUGGGAAGCUUGAGUGCAGAAGAGGACAGUGGAACUCCAUGUGUAGCGGUGAAAUGCGUAGAUAUAUGGAAGAACACCAGUGGCGAAGGCGGCUGUCUGGUCUGUAACUGACGCUGAGGCUCGAAAGUAUGGGUAGCAAACAGGAUUAGAUACCCUGGUAGUCCAUACCGUAAACGAUGAAUGCUAAGUGUUGGAGGGUUUCCGCCCUUCAGUGCUGCAGCUAACGCAUUAAGCAUUCCGCCUGGGGAGUACGGCCACAAGGCUGAAACUCAAAGGAAUUGACGGGGGCCCGCACAAGCGGUGGAGCAUGUGGUUUAAUUCGAAGCUACGCGAAGAACCUUACCAGGUCUUGACAUACUAUGCAAAUCUAAGAGAUUAGACGUUCCCUUCGGGGACAUGGAUACAGGUGGUGCAUGGUUGUCGUCAGCUCGUGUCGUGAGAUGUUGGGUUAAGUCCCGCAACGAGCGCAACCCUUAUUAUCAGUUGCCAGCAUUAAGUUGGGCACUCUGGUGAGACUGCCGGUGACAAACCGGAGGAAGGUGGGGAUGACGUCAAAUCAUCAUGCCCCUUAUGACCUGGGCUACACACGUGCUACAAUGGAUGGUACAACGAGUUGCGAACUCGCGAGAGUAAGCUAAUCUCUUAAAGCCAUUCUCAGUUCGGAUUGUAGGCUGCAACUCGCCUACAUGAAGUCGGAAUCGCUAGUAAUCGCGGAUCAGCAUGCCGCGGUGAAUACGUUCCCGGGCCUUGUACACACCGCCCGUCACACCAUGAGAGUUUGUAACACCCAAAGUCGGUGGGGUAACCUUUUAGGAACCAGCCGC
rnacentral:rRNA from 2 species